rnacentral:misc_RNA from 1 species
UGGCUCUCGCAUCGAUGAAGAACGCAGCGAAAUGCGAUAAGUAAUGUGAAUUGCAGAAUUCAGUGAAUCAUCGAAUCUUUGAACGCACCUUGCGCCCCUUGGUAUUCCGAGGGGCAUGCCUGUUCGAGUGUCAUUAAAUUAUCAGCUCGAAGUCUUCGCGCUUCGAAGUCUGGAUCUUGGAGCGUGCGGGUCCUCGCGAUCCGCUCCUCUCGAAACGCAUUAGCGGCAUACCGCUCGCGGAUCUGCCCCGGCGUGAUAAUUAUCUACGUCGCGGCGGCGAAGCUUACCAUGGUAUUCGCUUACAAUCCGUCGCUUCUCGACAAUCGAUGACGAUUUUGACCUCGAAUCAGGUAGGAUUACCCGCUGA